rnacentral:rRNA from 1 species
GACGAACGCUGGCGGCGUGCCUAAUGCAUGCAAGUAGAACGCUGAAGAAAGGAGCUUGCUUCUUUUGGAUGAGUUGCGAACGGGUGAGUAACGCGUAGGUAACCUGCCUUGUAGCGGGGGAUAACUAUUGGAAACGAUAGCUAAUACCGCAUAACAGCUUUUGACACAUGUUAGAAGCUUGAAAGAUGCAAUUGCAUCACUACGAGAUGGACCUGGGUUGUAUUAGCUAGUAGGUAGGGUAACGGCCUACCUAGGCGACGAUACAUAGCCGACCUGAGAGGGUGAUCGGCCACACUGGGACUGAGACACGGCCCAGACUCCUACGGGAGGCAGCAGUAGGGAAUCUUCGGCAAUGGGGGCAACCCUGACCGAGCAACGCCGCGUGAGUGAAGAAGGUUUUCGGAUCGUAAAGCUCUGUUGUAAGAGAAGAACGUGUGUGAGAGUGGAAAGUUCACACAGUGACGGUAACUUACCAGAAAGGGACGGCUAACUACGUGCCAGCAGCCGCAGUAACAC